rnacentral:rRNA from 1 species
AUUGAACGCUGGCGGCAGGCUUAACACAUGCAAGUCGAGCGGGGGAAGGUAGCUUGCUACCGGACCUAGCGGCGGACGGGUGAGUAAUGCUUAGGAAUCUGCCUAUUAGUGGGGGACAACAUCUCGAAAGGGAUGCUAAUACCGCAUACGUCCUACGGGAGAAAGCAGGGGAUCUUCGGACCUUGCGCUAAUAGAUGAGCCUAAGUCUGAUUAGCUAGUUGGUGGGGUAAAGGCCUACCAAGGCGACGAUCUGUAGCGGGUCUGAGAGGAUGAUCCGCCAAACUGGGACUGAGACACGGCCCAGACUCCUACGGGAGGCAGCAGUGGGGAAUAUUGGACAAUGGGGGGAACCCUGAUCCAGCCAUGCCGCGUGUGUGAAGAAGGCCUUAUGGUUGUAAAGCACUUUAAGCGAGGAGGAGGCUACUUUAGUUAAUACCUAGAGAUAGUGGACGCUACUCGCAGAAUAAGCACCGGCUAACUCUGUGCCAGCCGCCGCCGUAA